CCUACGGGAGGCAGCAGUGGGGGAUAUUGCACAAUGGGGGGAAGCCUGAUGCAGCGACGCCGCGUGGGGGAAGGAGUGCUUCGGCAUGUAAAGCCCUAUCGGCAGGGAAGAAGAAAGACGGUACUGGACUACGAAGCCUCGGCUAAGUACGCGCAAGCAGCCGCGGUAAUACGGAGGGCGCGAGCGUUAUUCGGAUGCACUGGGCGUAAAGGGAGCGUAGGCGGGCAUGCAAGGCAGGGGUGAAAGCCCGGGGCCCAACCCCGGAACUGCCCUUGGAACUGGAAGGCUGGAGUGCGGGAGGGGAAGGCGGAAUUCCUGGUGUAGCGGUGAAAUGCGUAGAUAUCAGGAGGAACACCGGCGGCGAAGGCG
rnacentral:rRNA from 1 species